GUGUCCUACGGGAGGCAGCAGUGGGGAAUUUUGGACAAUGGGCGCAAGCCUGAUCCAGCAAUGCCGCGUGCAGGAUGAAGGCCUUCGGGUUGUAAAAUGCUUUUGUACGGAACGAAAAGGCUUCUUCUAAUACAGGAGGCUCAUGACGGUACCGUAAGAAUAAGCACCGGCUAAUUACGUGCCAGCAGCCGCGGUAAUACGUAGGGUGCGAGCGUUAAUCGGAAUUACUGGGCGUAAAGCGUGCGCAGGCGGUUAUGUAAGACAGAGGUGAAAUCCCCGGGCUCAACCUGGGAACUGCCUUUGUGACUGCAUGGCUAGAGUGCGGCAGAGGGGGAUGGAAUUCCGCGUGUAGCAGUGAAAUGCGUAGAUAUGCGGAGGAACACCGAUGGCGAAGGCAAUCCCCUGGGCCUGCACUGACGCUCAUGCAAGAAAGCGUGGGGAGGAAACAGGAUUAGAUACCCGGGUAGGCCAGGCCCU
rnacentral:rRNA from 1 species